rnacentral:rRNA from 1 species
UCUACGGGAGGCAGCAGUCGAGAAUCAUUCACAAUGGGGGAAACCCUGAUGGUGCGACGCCGCGUGGGGGAAUGAAGGUCUUCGGAUUGUAAACCCCUGUCAUGUGGGAGCAAAUUAAAAAGAUAGUACCACAAGAGGAAGAGACGGCUAACUCUGUGCCAGCAGCCGCGGUAAUACAGAGGUCUCAAGCGUUGUUCGGAAUCACUGGGCGUAAAGCGUGCGUAGGCUGUUUCGUAAGUCGUGUGUGAAAGGCGCGGGCUCAACCCGCGGACGGCACAUGAUACUGCGAGACUAGAGGAAGGGAGGGGGAACCGGGAUUCUCGGUGUAGCAGUGAAAUGCGUAGAUAUCGAGAGGAACACUCGUGGCGAAGGCGGGUUCCUGGACAUUAACUGACGCUGAGGCACGAAGGCCAGGGGAGCGAAAGGGAUUAGAUACCCCUGUAGUC